ACCUGGCUGGCUCAGUCAAUAGAGCCUGAGACUUUUAAUCUCAGGGUUGUGGAUUUGAGCCCCACACUGGGUG
rnacentral:tRNA from 1 species